UUGGGCGUCGAGCGGCGGACGGGUGAGUAAUGCCUAGGAAAUUGCCUUGAUGUGGGGGAUAACCAUUGGAAACGAUGGCUAAUACCGCAUAAUGCCUACGGGCCAAAGAGGGGGAUCUUCGGACCUCUCGCGUCAAGAUAUGCCUAGGUGGGAUUAGCUAGUUGGUGAGGUAAUGGCUCACCAAGGCGACGAUCCCUAGCUGGUCUGAGAGGAUGAUCAGCCACACUGGAACUGAGACACGGUCCAGACUCCUACGGGAGGCAGCAGUGGGGAAUAUUGCACAAUGGGCGAAAGCCUGAUGCAGCCAUGCCGCGUGUAUGAAGAAGGCCUUCGGGUUGUAAAGUACUUUCAGUUGUGAGGAAGGGGGUAACGUUAAUAGCGUUAUCUCUUGACGUUAGCAACAGAAGAAGCACCGGCUAACUCCGUGCCAGCAGCCGCGGUAAUACGGAGGGUGCGAGCGUUAAUCG
rnacentral:rRNA from 1 species